AGCAGCCGCGGUAAUUCCGGCUCCAAUAGCGUAUAUUAAAGUUGUUGCAGUUAAAAAGCUCGUAGUUGAAUUUCGGGAUUGGCGCAUCGGUCGUGCCUCACGGGGUAUGAACUGGUGCAGUCAAUUUCUCACCUUCUGGAGAACCGCGAUGUCCUUAAUUGGAUGCCGCGGGAAACCAGGACCUUUACUUUGAAAAAAUUAGAGUGUUUAAAGCAGGCAUUUUUGCUUGAAUACAUUAGCAUGGAAUAAUAAAUGGACGGCAUGGUUCUAUUUUGUUGGUUUCUAGGACCACCGUAAUGAUUAAUAGGGAUAGUUGGGGGCAUUAGUAUUCAAUUGUCAGAGGUGAAAUUCUUGGAUUUAUUGAAGCUAACUACUGCGAAAGCAUUUGCCAAGGAUGUUUUUCAUUAAUCAAGAACGAAAGUUAGGGGAUCGAAGACGAUCAGAUACCGUCGUAGUCUUAACCAUAAACUAUGCCGACUAGGAAUCAGACGAUGUUAAUUUUUUAAUGACUCG
rnacentral:rRNA from 1 species